UGAUAAUUAGUUUAAAUUAAAACAAAUGAUUUCGACUCAUUAGACUAUGGAUUGUCCAUAAUUAUCAA
rnacentral:tRNA from 1 species